AUUGCUUCUCAGCCUUUUGGCUAAGAUCAAGUGUAGAUAUGGUCUCCAGAUUAUUUAUAAUUUCUGAUCUUUUACAUUUUUUUAUGAUUUCAUUCUUACCCAAAGUAGAAAGCAAAUCUGACUUAAGUAAUUUAACUAGGACCUCCAUUUUUGUAAAUCCUGCAGAGGGUCCUUAUGUCCU
rnacentral:snRNA from 1 species